rnacentral:rRNA from 1 species
AAUUUUGGACAAUGGGCGCAAGCCUGAUCCAGCAAUGCCGCGUGAGUGAAGAAGGCCUUCGGGUUGUAAAGCUCUUUUGUCAGGGAAGAAACGGGCCGGGCUAAUAUCCUGGUCUAAUGACGGUACCUGAAGAAUAAGCACCGGCUACCUACGUGCCAGCAGCCGCGGUAAUACGUAGGGUGCAAGCGUUAAUCGGAAUUACUGGGCGUAAAGCGUGCGCAGGCGGUUGUGCAAGACCGAUGUGAAAUCCCCGGGCUUAACCUGGGAAUGGCAUUGGUGACUGCACGGCUAGAGUGUGUCAGAGGGGGGUAGAAUUCCACGUGUAGCAGUGAAAUGCGUAGAGAUGUGGAGGAACACCGAUGGCGAAGGCAGCCCCCUGGGUCAAGAUUGACGCUCAUGCACGAAAGCGUGGGGAGCAAAC